CUUAGUGGCGGACGGGUGGAGUAACGCGUGGGUAACCUGCCUUAUACAGGGGGAUAACACUUAGAAAUAGGUGCUAAUACCGCAUAAGCGCACGGGGCUGCAUGGCCCAGUGUGAAAAACUCCGGUGGUAUAAGAUGGACCCGCGUCUGAUUAGCUUGUUGGCGGGGUAACGGCCCACCAAGGCGACGAUCAGUAGCCGGCCUGAGAGGGUGGACGGCCACAUUGGGACUGAGACACGGCCCAAACUCCUACGGGAGGCAGCAG
rnacentral:rRNA from 1 species